rnacentral:rRNA from 1 species
AUGCUUCUGUGGUCAGCACAAACUGUUUACUUUGCUCUUCUUUCACAAGCAUAUGUGAAAGAAAGUCUCAGUAGCAUGACUCUCCGUGUCAUUUUUACCCUCUUAUUGUUGGUAUGUUUCUGUGAAUCUGAUGACCGCCUCACACCCGCGAAGCCACUCUUGCCGGGCGACAAGCUCGUCUCAAACAAUGGCAUCUUCGCUCUAGGCUUCUUCUCCCUGGACCCUGAGAACUCCACCGCCGCAAACUCAUAUGUAGGCAUAUGGUACCACGACAUCCCGGAGAGGACAUAUGUGUGGGUGGCCAACCGUGACAAUCCUAUCGGCAGCGGUUUGUCUGGGGAGCUGGUUCUCACCAACACCUCUGAUCUUGUCUUGUCAGACUCAGAAGGCCACAUCCUCUGGAGGACGACGAACAACGUCACCUCCGGGGGUGAUGGUGCCAUGGCGCUGCUGCUGGAGGCGGGGAACUUUGUCGUCCAGUUGCAGAAUUUCACGCAGAUAUGGCAGAGCUAUGAUCACCCGACCGACACCAUCCUCCCCAGCUUCAAGUUGUGGGCAAACUACAAGACCCACACAGCAGUGCGUCUCGUUGCUUGGAAAGGUCCUCUGGAUCCGUCCCCCGGGAAAUUCUUGCUCAGCCGUGACCCCGGCACAGGCCUCCAGAUCCUCACCUUCCGCGGGACUAGCAAGUACUGGCGCAGCGGGUUGUGGAACGGUGCACAAGCCUCGGACAAGAACGGAUACAUGUGGUCCCAGAACGUCGAUGACGGGGAGACCAUCUACUCGACGUACAACACGGGUAACAGCUCUGCCCGGAGAUCGCACUGGAAGCUGGACUACAAUGGCGACUUGAUGCUCAGGAUCUGGACUGGCCGGUCAUGGGUGCCUCUGUUCAAGCGCCCGGAUGAUGGCUGCCGCCACUAUGGCUCGUGUGGUCCGUUCGGCUACUGCGACAUGUUUGACAAGAUCAGCGGCGAGUGCAAGUGCCUCGAUGGGUUCAGGCCGGCAGACGGCUUCAGCGCCAACCCCUCCCGAGGAUGCGUGAGAAAGGAAAACCUGACAUGCCGCGGCGACCAUUUCUUGACUUUGCCGGAGAUGAAGGUGCCUGACAAGUUUGUGUAUGUGAGGAACAGAAGCUUCGAGGAGUGCACUGCUGAGUGUGAGCGUGACUGCUCCUGCACUGCGUACGCUUACACCAACCUGAGCAGCAUCGUCGCAACUGGUGGCCCAUCAAGAUGCUUGAUCUGGACAGGGGAGCUUGUUGACUCUGAGAAGGCCGGUAUGCUUGGUGGCAACCUCUACAUUCGGCUUGCUGGCUCUCCUGAACACAGUUCUGCAGUAAACACCACGAAGAGCGGUGUCAGUGUGGUAUUCAAGAUCGCACUUCCAGUUAUAACAUUCCUGCUGACACUCACAUGCAUAUAUCUUGUCUGCAUAUGCAAGCAAAAAGGGAUACAAGUAAACAAGGAAACCCUGAAAAAACCGACCCUGAAACACCUGAGCACUUCGCAAGAAGUUUGGGAUCAAAAUUUAGAAUUCCAGUAUAUUAUGUUCGAAGACAUUGCUGCUGCAACAAACAGUUUCCAUGACACAAACGUACUUGGAAAAGGAGGUUUUGGCAAAGUCUAUAAGGGAAUACUAGAAGAUGGAAAGGAAGUUGCUGUUAAAAGGCUUAGCAAGGGUUCUGAUCAGGGGAUAGAGCAUUUUAGAAAUGAAGUGGUUCUUAUUGCCAAAUUGCAGCACAAGAAUCUAGUUAAACUUCUUGGCUGUUGUAUUCAUGAGGAUGAGAAGUUGCUUAUUUAUGAAUACUUACCCAACAAAAGCCUGGACCAGUUUCUUUUUGAUAUUGCAAGGAAGUUUAUGCUUGAUUGGCCAAAGAGGUUCAACAUAAUCAAAGGGGUAGCUAGAGGACUUAUGUAUCUCCACCAAGAUUCGAGAACGACUAUAAUCCAUAGAGACCUCAAGCCAAGCAACAUCCUGCUAGACGUGGAGAUGAACCCAAAAAUAUCAGAUUUUGGAAUGGCAAGGAUCUUUGGGGGCAACGAACAACAAGAAAGUACCAGACGAGUUGUUGGCACGUACGGGUACAUGUCGCCUGAGUAUGCGAUGGAGGGCAUUUUUUCCGUCAAGUCGGACACCUACAGCUUUGGUAUUUUGCUACUAGAGAUUGUAAGUGGAUUAAAGAUCAGUUCACCACAUCAUCUUGUGAUGGACUUUUCAAAUCUCAUAUCAUUUGCAUGGAACUUGUGGGCAGAUGGCAAAGUGGAGGAUUUCAUGGACCCAGCCGUCACGGAGAGCUACUCGCUUGAUGAAGUGUCCAAGUGCAUCCAUGUUGGGCUCUUGUGUGUCCAGGACAGCUCCGGUGCUAGGCCUCACAUGUCAUCCGUUGUGUCCAUGCUCGACAGUGAAGCCAUGCCUCGCGCAGCGCCGAGGCAACCUAUGUAUUUCGCGCAGAUAAAUUACGAAACCAGUGAUGCGACAGAAGACCUGGAAAACUCUGCCAAUGGCGUGAGCCUUACGGCACUAGAAGGACGAUAA